CUUGUCGUCGGCGAUGGAUCUCCGCCAAGGCACCCCAGGUGGUGUCUGAACCGCCUCGCUGCCGGGGCUGAUGGUUCCUUUCUCGUC
rnacentral:ncRNA from 1 species